rnacentral:rRNA from 1 species
GACGAACCGAGCGAACGUUGUUCGGAAUCACUGGGCUUAAAGGGCGCGUAGGCGGGCCGCAAAGUCCGUGGUGAAAUCCUCCAGCUCAACUGGAGAAGUGCCUCGGAUACUGGCGGCCUCGAGGGGGGUAGGGGCGUGCGGAACUUCCGGUGGAGCGGUGAAAUGCGUAGAUAUCGGAAGGAACACCGGUGGCGAAAGCGGCGCGCUGGACCCCAUCUGACGCUGAGGCGCGAAAGCCAGGGGAGCAAACGGG